AAGGGGGCAGCAAUGCUACCGGCGUACGGGUGCGUAACACGUAUGCAACCUACCUCAAACUGGGGGAUAGCCUGUGGAAACACGGAUUAAUACCCCAUAAUGCAGGGGACCUGCCUGGGUAUAUUGCUAAAGUGGCGACACGGUUUGAGAUGGGCAUGCGCCCAAUUAGCUAGUUGGUGAGGUAACGGCUCACCAAGGCUACGAUUGGUAGGGGGCCUGAGAGGGUAAUCCCCCACACUGGUACUGAGAUACGGACCAGACUCCUACGGGAGGCAGCAGUAGGGAAUAUUGGGCAAUGGGUGGAAGCCUGACCCAGCCAUACCGCGUGGUGGACGAAGGUCUUCGGAUUGUAAACACCUUUUGCAGGGGAAAAAGUCGGGGCUGCGGCCUUGUGUGAUGGUACCCUGCGAAUAAGCACCGGCUAACUACGUGCCAGCAGCCGCGGUAAUACGUAGGGUGCAAGCGUUGUCCGGAUUUAUUGGGUCUAAAGGGUACGUAGGCGGCCUUUUAAGUCAGUGGUGAAAGGUAGCCGCCCAACGGUUGUUAUGCCAUUGAUACUGGGGGGCUUGAGUGCGACAGGGGACACUGGAAUUUGUGGUGUAGCGGUGAAAUGCAUAGAUACCACAAGGAACACCGAAAGCGAAGGCAGGUGUCUGGGUCGCAACUGACGCUG
rnacentral:rRNA from 1 species